AACGAACGCUGGCGGCAUGCCUAACACAUGCAAGUCGAACGAGACCUUCGGGUCUAGUGGCGCACGGGUGCGUAACGCGUGGGAACCUGCCCUUAGGUUCGGAAUAACUCCCCGAAAGGGGUGCUAAUACCGGAUAAUGUCUUCGGACCAAAGAUUUAUCGCCUUUGGAUGGGCCCGCGUUGGAUUAGCUAGUUGUUAGGGUAAAAGCCUACCAAGGCGACGAUCCAUAGCUGGUCUGAGAGGAUGAUCAGCCACACUGGGACUGAGACACGGCCCAGACUCCUACGGGAGGCAGCAGUGGGGAAUACUGGACAAUGGGCGAAAGCCUGAUCCAGCAAUGCCGCGUGAGUGAUGAAGGCCUUAGGGUUGUAAAGCUCUUUUACCCGGGAUGAUAAUGACAGUACCGGGAGAAUAAGCUCCGGCUAACUCCGUG
rnacentral:rRNA from 1 species